UACAGGGGGGGCAAGCGUUGUUCGGAAUUACUGGGCGUAAAGGGCCAGUAGGCGGCCAACUAAGUCACACGUGAAAUCCCCAGGCUUAACCUGGGAACUGCGUGUGAUACUGGAUGGCUUGAAUUCGGGAGAGGGAUGCAGAAUUCCAGGUGUAGCGGUGAAAUGCGUAGAUAUCUGGAGGAACACCGGUGGCGAAGGCGGCAUCCUGGACCAACACUGACACUGAGGAGCGAAAGCCAGGGGAGCAAACGGG
rnacentral:rRNA from 1 species